rnacentral:rRNA from 1 species
GAUGAACGCUGGCGGCGUGCCUAACACAUGCAAGUCGAGCGGCAGCGCGAGUAGUUUACUACUUGGCGGCGAGCGGCGGACGGCUGAGUAACGCGUAGGAAUGUGCCCCAAAGUGAGGGAUAAGCACCGGAAACGGUGUCUAAUACCGCAUAUGGUCUUCGGAUUAAAGCUUCGGCGCUUUGGGAACAGCCUGCGUCCGAUUAGGUUGUUGGUGAGGUAAUAGCUCACCAAGCCGACGAUCGGUAGCUGGUCUGAGAGGAUGAUCAGCCAGACUGGAACUGAGACACGGUCCAGACUCCUACGGGAGGCAGCAGUGAGGAAUCUUCCACAAUGGGGGCAACCCUGAUGGAGCAACGCCGCGUGCAGGAUGAAGGCCUUCGGUCGUAACUAGCUUUGUUACGGAACGAAACGGUACUGCUCUAAUACAGUGGGCUAAUGACGGUACC